ACGAUGGCCACGCUCUCGUCACUCCUGCUGACCCUGGUAGUUCUGACGUUAAUUCCGGUCUGCUACGGGCAAGACUGUGACCUGACAUCAAGGACUAAAUGUGGAGAUGAAUGUCACUGUGUGGACAGGACGAUGUGUGGAACAGCAGGCUUUUGUGAGGGAGGCUGUCAGGACGGAUGGACAAGCAGUGACUGUCAGCAAGUGUGUAAUGUAAAGAGU